GAUGAACGCUAGCUACAGGCUUAACACAUGCAAGUCGAGGGGAAACGAUAUUGGAAGCUUGCUUCCGAUAGGCGUCGACCGGCGCACGGGUGAGUAACGCGUAUCCAACCUGCCCAUCACUUGGGAAUAACCUUGCGAAAGUAAGACUAAUGCCCAAUGACAUUUAUAGAAGGCAUCCGAAGUGAAUUAAAGAUUUAUCGGUGAUGGAUGGGGAUGCGUCUGAUUAGCUUGUUGGCGGGGUAACGGCCCACCAAGGCGACGAUCAGUAGGGGUUCUGAGAGGAAGGUCCCCCCACAUUGGAACUGAGACACGGUCCAAACUCCUACGGGAGGCAGCAGUGAGGAAUAUUGGUCAAUGGGGCGAGAGCCUGAACCAGCCAAGUAGCGUGCAGGAAGACGGCCCUAUGGGUUGUAAACUGCUUUUAUAGGGAAUAAAGUGAGCCACGUGUGGUUUUUUGCAUGUACCCUAUGAAUAAGGACCGGCUAAUUCCGUG
rnacentral:rRNA from 1 species